rnacentral:rRNA from 1 species
CACGUAGGGGGCAAGCGUUGUCCGGAUUUAUUGGGCGUAAAGAGCUCGUAGGCGGUUCGGUAAGUUGGGUGUGAAACCUCCAGGCUCAACCUGGAGACGCCACCCGAUACUGCUGUGACUAGAGUCCGGUAGGGGAGCGUGGAAUUUCUGGUGUAGCGGUGAAAUGCGCAGAUAUCAGAAGGAACACCAGCGGCGAAGGCGGCGCUCUGGGCCGGAACUGACGCUGAGGAGCGAAAGCGUGGGUAGCAAACAGG